rnacentral:ncRNA from 1 species
UCGGCUCUUCCUAUCAUUGCGAAGCAGAAUUCGCCAAGCGUUGGAUUGUUCACCCACUAAUAGGGAACGUGAGCUGUUGAGACUAUCCUUUGAUCGGGU